UAAACUACGAUUAGAUACCCUAUUAUUUUAAAUGUGAAUAUAAAGAUGCUUGAGUAGUAUGAGUUAUGUUCUUUAAACUUAAAGAAUUUGGCGGUGUUUUAGUCUAUUCAGAGGAACCUGUCCCGUAAUCGAUACCCCACGUAAAAUCUUACUUAAUUUUGUUAUCAGUUUGUAUACCGCCGUCGUCAGAAUGUCUUUAGAAGGGUGAAAUUUUCUUAAAUUUUUAUUAAAAAUGAUGUCAGGUCAAGGUGCAGCUAAUGGUUAAGUGGAGAUGGGUUACAAUAAAAUUAUUUAUAUGAAUUUCAAUUUGAAAAAGAGGUUUGAAAGUGGAUUUGAUUGUAAUUUGAUUAAUAAAGUUGAAUUGAUCUUAGCUCUAAAACAUGCACACAUCGCCCGUCGCUCUUA
rnacentral:rRNA from 1 species